GCCCCCGUAGCUCAAUUGGAUAGAGUGAUUGGCUUCGAACCAAUAGGUUGCACGUUCGAAUCGUGCCGGGGGCA
rnacentral:tRNA from 1 species